GACGAACGCUGGCGGCGUGCUUAACACAUGCAAGUCGAACGGAAAGGCCCUGCUUUUGUGGGGUGCUCGAGUGGCGAACGGGUGAGUAACACGUGAGUAACCUGCCCUUGACUUUGGGAUAACUUCAGGAAAAUGGGGCUAAUACCGGAUAGGAGCUCCUGCUGCAUGGUGGGGGUUGGAAAGUUUCGGCGGUUGUGGAUGGAAUCGCGGCUUAUGAGCCUGUUGGUGGGGUUGUGGAGUCCCAAGGCUUUGACGGGUAGCCGGCCUGGGAGGGUGACCGGCCACAUUGGUACUGCGGUACGCCCCAGACUCCAACGGGACGCAGCAGUGGGGAAUAUUGCACAGUGGGCGGAAGCCUGUUGCAGCAACGCCGCGUUCGGGAUGACGGCCUUCGGGUUGUAAACCGCUUUCUCCUGUGACGAAGCGGUAGUGACGGUAAUGGGUAAAGAAGCACCGGCUAACUACGUG
rnacentral:rRNA from 1 species